rnacentral:rRNA from 1 species
UACGGGGGGUGCGAGCGUUGUCCGGAAUCACUGGGCGUAAAGGGCGCGUAGGUGGUCUUAUAAGGGUGUGGUGAAAGCCCGGGGCUCAACCCCGGGUCGGCCGUGCCGACUGUAAGACUAGAGUGCUGUAGGGGCAGGCGGAAUUCCUAGUGUAGAGGUGAAAUUCGUAGAUAUUAGGAAGAACACCAGUGGCGAAGGCGGCUCACUGGCCCGGUACUGACGCUGAGGCGCGAAAGCGUGGGGAGCAAACAGG